AGUAGAAAAUCAGACUUUUUAUUUUUUUAUUGAGGUUUUGAUUAAAUAUAUAUAUAUAAACAACAUCAAAUCUGAGGAUGACCGGACGAACAAAUAGUUAAAGUGCUAUUCUAUAUACAUUCUCACACUUCUCUCCUUUUUAGCAUGGUCAUCUAGUGACUACAGGUGACAUGCCCUGUGAACAGAGGCAUCAAACAACACCCUGUGAGCAGAGGCAUCACACAACACCCUGUCAACAGAGGCGUCACACACAACACAAUGUGAACAGAGGCAUCACACACACAACACCCUGUGAACAGAGGCAUCACACACAACACCCUGUGAACAGAGGCAUCACACAACACCCUGUGAGCAGAGGCAUCAAACACAACACCCUGUGAACAGAGGCAUCACACACAACACCCUGUGAACAGUGGCAUCACACACAACACCCUGUGAACAGAGGCAUCACACACAACACCCUGUGAACAGAGGCAUCACACAACACCCUGUGAACAGAGGCAUCACACAACACCCUGUGAACAGAGGCAUCACACAACACCCUGUGAACAGAGGCAUCACACAACACCCUGUGAACAGAGGCAUCACACAAACACCAUGAGAACAGAGGCAUCACACACACAACACCCUGUGAACAGAGGCAUCACACACAACACCCUGUGAACAGAGGCAUCACACAACACCCUGUGAGCAGAGGCAUCACACACAACACCCUGUGAACAGAGGCAUCACACACAACACCCUGUGAACAGAGACAUCACACACAACACCCUGUGAACAGAGGCAUCACACAACACCCUGUGAAAAGAGGCAUCACACAACACCCUGUGAACAGAGGCAUCAAACACAACACCCUGUGAACAGAGGCAUCACACACAACACCCUGUGACCAGAGGCAUCGCACACAACACCCUGUGAACAGAGGCAUCACACACAACACCCUGUGAGCAGUGGCAUCACACACAACACCCUGUGAACAGAGGCAUCGCACAACAACCUGUGAGCAGAGGCAUCACACAACACCCUGUGAACAGAGGCAUUACACACAAAACACCCUGUGAACAGAGGCAUCACACAACUCCCUGUGAACAGAGGCAUCACACACAACACCCUGUGAACAGAGUCAUCACACAGCACCCUGUGAACAGAGGCAUCACACAACACCCUGUGAGCAGAGGAAUCAAACACAACACCCUGUAAGCAGAGGCAUCACACAACACCCUGUGAACAGAGGCAUCACACACAACACCCUGUGAACAAAGGCAUCACACACAACACCCUGUGAACAGAGGCAUCACACAACACCCUGUGAACAGAGGCAUCACACACAACACCCUGUGAACAGAGGCAUCACACACAACACCCUGUGAACAGAGGCAUCACACAACACCCUGUGAACAGAGGCAUCACACACAACACCCUGUGAGCAGAGGCAUCACACACAACACCCUGUGAACAGAGGCAUCACACACAACACCCUGUGAACAGAGUCAUCACACAACACCCUGUGAACAGAGGCAUCACACACAACACCCUGUGAACAGAGGCAUCACACACAACACCCUGUGAACAGAGGCAUCACACACAACACCCUGUGAACAGAGGCAUCACACAACACCCUGUGAACAGAGGCAUCACACAACACCCUGUGAGCAGAGGCAUCACACACAACACCCUGUGAACAGAGGCAUCAAACACAACACCCUGUGAACAGAGGCAUCACACACAACACCCUGUGAACAGAGGCAUCACACACAACACCCUGUGAACAGAGGCAUCACACACAACACCCUGUGAACAGAGGCAUCACACAACACCCUGUGAGCAGAGGCAUCACACAACACCCUGUGACCAGAGGCAUCACACACAACACCCUGUGAACAGAGUCAUCACACACAACACCCUGUGAGCAGAGGCAUCACACAACACCCUGUGAACAGAGUCAUCACACAACACCCUGUGAACAGAGGCAUCACACAACACCCUGUGAGCAGAGGCAUCACACACAACACCCUGUGAACAGAGUAAUCACACAACACCCUGUGAACAGAGGCAUCACACACAACACCCUGUGAACAGAGGCAUCACACAACACCCUGUGAACAGAGGCAUCACACACAACACCCUGUGAACAGAGGCAUCACACACAACACCCUUUGAACAGAGGCAUCACACACAACACCCUGUGAACAGAGGCAUCACACAACACCCUGUGAACAGAGGCAUCACACACAACACCCUGUGAACAGAGGCAUCACACACAACACCCUGUGAACAGAGGCAUCACACACAACACCCUGUGAACAGAGGCAUCAAACACAACACC
rnacentral:lncRNA from 1 species